GCGCCUGUAGCUCAGUGGAUUAGAGCAUCGGUCUUCGAAACCGAGGGUCGUGGGUUCGAAUCCCACCAGGCGCACCA
rnacentral:tRNA from 1 species